UACAGAGGUCUCAAGCGUUGUUCGGAUUCAUUGGGCGUAAAGGGUGCGUAGGCGGCGCGGUAAGUCGGGUGUGAAAUCUUGGAGCUUAACUCCGAAACUGCAUUCGAUACUGCCGUGCUUGAGGACUGGAGAGGAGACUGGAAAUUCAUGGUGUAGCAGUGAAAUGCGUAGAGAUCAUGAGGAAGACCAGUGGCGAAGGCGGGUCUCUGGACAGUUCCUGACACUGAGGCACGAAGGCCAGGGGAGCAAACGGG
rnacentral:rRNA from 1 species